AUUAGAAUGCUUAUUUUAAUAAAGGCGUAAAUGUUGGAUUUGGGAUACAGAUAUGAAGAAACUGUAAUAACCAGCAUGUGUAUAAUGGGAGAUACUGGAAAUCUGAUUUUAAGAUGAAUAAAGGAGGACCUGAAUAAUCCAAUAGCUGUAUAACGUUUAUGGUUGUCAUAGAAUGUAAAGGAAUCGAUGUUAUUCUAAGGGAACCUGUUUGCACAACAUUUUUAAUAACAUUUUGUAUGUGUCACAAAGUCUAUAUUUGACAGAAGACGCUGAGAAAAAGUGAACGCGUGGAUGUGAAGUCCAUGUAAAGGUCAUCUGCUCGUACUUCAGUAUCUCUGUUUAUUUGAUCUCCGGCCACUCGGUCAAAAUUUAGCUUCCCUCGCUGGAGGCUGCUGGGAAAAGCUCCUCUCGCGUCAUGUGACCGAGGUACUAGAAUUCCUUCGGACCAGACCAGCUCCUCCGGACCGACCCCGUGAGGACGAGCCACUGAACUGCGUAGCAAGACGAGAGAAACUGGGUUCCUUAGCCACUGUAGCCGAAUGGACCUCGAUGGUGACGGUUUGUGGUUUAAGGUCGUGUUUGCUCCAGCACCCCCCUCACCUCUUCCUUACCUCCAUCCUGGACCCUUCAUUUUUCCCGCCAGUCCAGCUCACGUCACCUCCCAUCCUUCUUCAGCUUCAUGCCGAACUCGUCCGUCUCGAUGGGUGGCAGCGCGGACAUGGGAGGGGCGCUGGGGACCACCUGGCCCUGAGACCUCUGGGGUCCGUCCCGCUCGAGCCGGCCUUGCCGGGUCCGGGUCGACCUCCCCUGCUGGAAGCGCUCCGCACGCUCGCGGCGGUCGGCUUGGGAUCUGCCAUACGACAGCGCACGGCCGCCGAGGUUCUGCUUCUCGACUGGGACCGGACUGCUCUGCUCCGGGGUCAUGGCCUCCUUCUCCGGAAGGAGGGGUUGAAGAGGAGGCAGCGCCGCCAGCUGGAGGAAGAGAGCUACGUCAGAAAGAGUGAAAUCCAGCCAUGGACGUUCCUUCCGCCACUGCUGUUCUCCAUCAACGCGGAGCCCCGAGCGCGGACCCGAAGCGACAUCGUUCACCUGUCUGCUUCGCUCGGGACCGCAGAUCUGGAGGGGCUGGUAAAGAGGGCCAUCGCCAGGCAGGGCAGAGCUUUUCGUGCUCCGUGGAAGUUUGUUUUGCACCUGGGCCAAAAGAAAUGAACACGCAAACAUGCAGGAAGAGAGCAGAACAGAUUAACCCCGCGGCGCCUUGGACCGCCCUCUCUCCUCGCUUCGCCACGCCUCUCCUUCUUACUCGGGUGCGUCGCCGCAGGGCUCACCUGUGGGACGCCCCCAGCGAGGAAGCCGCAGCGGUGAAUGACGGGCAGGAGGGGGCGGGCACAGCACAGCUCCUGAAAGACCAGAAACACAGAUCCACUGUUCUGCCCCCGUAUCAGCGAUCUGAUCAGAAGACAGGAAGCGCAGAAAUGUUUUGAACUCGGAAUAAUACGGUUUGCACGGACCAGCUUUGUCUGUGAAUUCACUCUAACGAGGCCUGGACUGCGCGUACGUACGAGAUGAUUGGGGCAUCUGUAGUCGAGGGCAAUUACUGGUAAUGGGAGCUGAUGACGGGUGCACUGGCGGCUGAGGCCACUCCCAUCGUUGGCCCCAUAGCCACUCCCACCAUUAUUGCCGCUCCCAUAGCCACUCCCACUGCCGUAGCCACGCCCACUGAGGGACAGGCCUGGGUAGACACUGCUCGUGUUCAAGGAGCCGGAGAUGACCCUGUGGAUAAAACAUUACACUCCAGCACAUAAAUAUGUAAGAAAAAAUAUAAUUUAGCCCUUGGAGGCUAAUGUGACGCGCAUUUCAUACCCACGAUGCCAGUUUUUCCAGUCAUUUUUUAAAGUUUCGUAACUGGCCAAUGCGCUUUCGGAUAUCUGCCUUUAACUUUUUUCUUUUUUUUGCAUUUUGAUGUCCUCCCUUUUUGAUAUGUGGACACGUGACUGACAUGAUGACACACUUCCUGUGAGCCAUUUUGUUCUUGUCUGGAACUUGGCAAGAAGGUUUUCUGCUGCAGAAACUGCAUAACUCAUUAUGGACUGGAUAGACAAUGAUGACAGUGAUGGUUCAAGUGUUGAAUUUUCUGAUAUUAGCGAUAUUUAGAGCAGGAUUGUUCAGAAAAACAAAGUGUGUAAAGUACAGUGAUUUUGCUCAAUUACCCAGUUGGUGAGAAUAAACAGAACCUUAAAGGUUUUGUCUGUGGAUCA
ensembl:lncRNA